GUCAUUUGUUUGGGAAUCAGGACUACACUGGUCACACUGUCUGAUUCUGAUUCACUAUAAAGAACCGGGUCUAAAGAGUCAUUUGUUUGGGAAUCAGGACUACACUGGUCACACUGUCUGAUUCUGAUUCACUAUAAAGAACCGGGUCUAAAGAGUCAUUUGUUUGGGAAUCAGGACUACACUGGUCACACUGUCUGAUUCUGAUUCACUAUAAAGAACCGGGUCUAAAGAGUCAUUUGUUUGGGAAUCAGACUACACUGGUCGCACUGUAUGUUACUGAUUCACUAUAAAGAACCAGGUCUAAAGAGUCAUUUGUUUGGGAAUCAGGACUACACUGGUCGCAAUGUAUGUUAUUGAUUCACUAUAAAGAACCGGGUCUAAAGAGUCAUUUGUUUGGGAAUCGGACUACACUGGUCGCACUGUAUGAUUCUGAUUCACUAUAAAGAACCGGGUCUAAAGCGUCAUUUGUUUGGGAAUUGGGACUACACUGGUCACACUGUAUGAUUCUGAUUCACUAUAAAGAACCGGAUCUAAAGAGUCAUUUGUUUGGGAAUCGGACUACACUGGUCGCACUGUAUGUUACUGAUUCACUAUAA